rnacentral:tRNA from 1 species
GGGCCCGUAGCUUAGUUGGGAAAGCGCUACAAUGGCAUUGUAGAGACCGUGGGUUCGAGUCCCACCGGGUCCACUA